rnacentral:rRNA from 1 species
CCUGUUUAACAAAAACAUGUCUUUUUGAGUUAUUUUUAAAGUCUGACCUGCCCACUGAAAUUUUUAAAUGGCCGCAGUAUUCUAACUGUGCAAAGGUAGCAUAAUCAUUAGUCUUUUAAUUGAAGGCUGGAAUGAACGGUUGGACGAGGUAUAAGCUGUUUCAUAUGAAUUUAUAGUAGAAUUUUAUUUUUUAGUCAAAAAGCUAAAAUUUAAUUAAAAGACGAGAAGACCCUAUAAAUCUUUAUAUUUUAUUUUAUUUAAAUUUUUUAGAUUUGUUUUAUUUUUAUGUAUUAAAAUAUUUUGUUGGGGUGAUAUUAAAAUUUAAUGAACUUUUAAUUUUUUUUAAAUCAUUAAUCUAUGAAUUGUUGAUCCAUUAUUAUUGAUUAUAAGAUUAAGUUACUUUAGGGAUAACAGCGUAAUUUUUUUGGAGAGUUCAUAUCGAUAAAAAAGGUUGCGACCU